rnacentral:lncRNA from 1 species
CCUAACGAAUUAAGAAAAUGAGCAAGUAUUUUGUAAAAAAAAAAAACUUUAUCUCAAAAAUUUAAUCUAUUUCUACCACACUACUUAAGAAAAGAAUUAGCAUACAACCUUAGCAUAUUUGGAGCAUGUCAGAAAGACUUGCCACGUCGACCUCAAAAUUGGUAGCUACUAUUAGUAAGUAGUGAGAUAGAUAAGAUAAUUAACUUUGGGUAACAUACACCCUUACCGUUUUAGCAAAAUCACAACUAUGUCGUCCCUUGACUGCCUUGAUUUCAAAACCCAGUAAAUUAAAAUUAGCAUGCUUCAAAAACUCCAGUAUUAUGAGGUAACUCUAAAAAAAAUGGUAUGAUCUGAAGCAGCUCCAAGAACCAGAUGCUAAUGAGCUAAAGGCUGAAGCUCUUAUGAUCUUAUGGACACACCAUAAUCAGUGUAGCAUACUAUAGUUAUUAUCUAGUGGCAUAAAAAAUAUUAACAAAAUUGGCAGUCAUGAGAGAGACGAAGAAGCUUGAAAUUAAAGUCAUAGGACACAUAGCAUACAAUGGGAAUGAAGAGAAAUGGAUCAGCCAGAUUCUGAAGAAAAAGGAAAAAACCUAGAACACCAGGCAGUAACUUUGCAGGUGACAACUUAAAAGUUAAAAGUAUUGAAGAUUCUAAUAUGUAACCAGCUAUUAAAAAAGAAUUUAUGUAAAACACUUUAUAAAGGAUCUAUGUAAAAAAGUUCAUAGACAAGGAGAUAUAUUUUUGUACAAGUUGCGUAUUAGCUCGCAUAUCAAUAUUCAACUUGCAGAUAUUAUUGACGUGUUAAUAAAGCAUGAAGAAUAACUUAGUAAUGCAGGAAUUAUGGACUACAAUAGGAAAAUAGUAAACAGGUAAACUAACCUAAUAUGACAGUAGCAAAAAAUAACUACAACAACAUCCAAAAGGCAGCAGAAAAAGUGGCAUCAACCGUUUUGAAAAACAUCAGCAAAAGUGGCUUCAAUCACAUCCAUAAGCAGCACAGGUGUACGUGCUCAAUGUAGGAAAUUUUCAACUUCUACUCAUAGUUCUCCACCUUUUCAGAGCUCAAAUCCAGCAAAUCCUUUUAAGAAAAAGGAUGAUAGCAAUUAAAAAGCGAUGCAAUCUGAUAUAAAUAGCUGGUAUAGAUACAGAGUUUAAAAUAGACGCAAAUAUUAUAAUCUACGACUAUAAUAACUAUAGGAUAAUCACACAGAUCAUGUGCGUGCUAUUGGGAGCUGUAGUAAAGCUACAUUUAAAGUUGAUAGACUUGUUGAACUAAGAAACUAAAAGUCACAACUUUUGGUUUUGAGUGUGGUGAGGAGCUAUUUUUGAAACUUCUAACACAAUAAAUGACUAAACCUAGAUACUUCUAAAGAGAAGAUACAUAGUGUGCACAUGUUCAAUAUGCUAAGAUAGUAGCAAUUUCAUAUUCAUCAUCAGUAGCCUUCCAUUUGACAAGAUAUUUCACUUGAAAAGCACAUAGUAGAAAAAUAGUGAAAAAAGAAUUUAGAAGAUAGAAACAUAACGCAUAAAUUGCAUACUCCUCACUACUUGUUAGGUCCUUGAACCUAGAUAGGCACUUUGGUAUAAGGGACGUUUCCAUUACAUUGCAUUGCAUCUCGUCACACCUCCUCUGGCACGAGGUCACAUUUAGCUCAAUCAAUUUCUUCUUGGAACUGUAUUUUAGACACCAAAUGAUUAAACAUAAAAAUAUCACUUAAACAUAUCUCACUUCAAUUUAUACUCUAUCCAGAAGGUCAGAAAUGUGAAUCACUCAUUUAUCUGACAUACACUCUAUAAGCCAUGAGGUUGCCUUCUCACAGCUAUUUCCUCAGGAAUAAUAUUCCAAUACAUGUGAAACCAAUAAGUACCCAUCAGCUUAUUUCAUAAAAUACAAUUUUAAUACUCCACUCAAUAAAAUAUACGACCCUCCAUUACAAAUUAAAGCAGCCACAAAAACUUGUUAUAGUUUAUCUUGGAAGUGAGAAGUUCAUCUGUUACCUCUCAAAUAUAAGCUACCUAUUAUCCAUUACUAGCUCCCUCUUCUUCUUGAAUUUCACAGGAGAGAACAACUCUUGCAUGAUUUAAAUCGCACCUUUUCUGGCUCCUCAUUAAACAACAACUCCUCACACUUGAUUUCAUGAAGAACUGCAAAUCUGCUCUCCAGUAACAACUAAGAAGCGAUUCAUUAGAGUUAGUUACACUUUAUUUUUGAGUUAGCUGUGAGACUCUAGUGCAACAAAUCAAUCAAUGAAAAGUUAUAACCAGUGAGCAAUACACAUUAUGAACAUAACAAACUCUUUAAUAGCAGGGAGAACAUCAAAGAAGGUUGAAGAAACUUGUCUUACCAAGAACAUCAUAAGAGCAAGACAACUUGAUAUAAACCAGGUAAAAACUCUACUGAGAUCUAAUUUAAUGGACAUUUUUGCCAUAUUACAUACAACUCAUGAAUCAAAUAGCGCAGUUUAGGUUUGCGAUUAUUAGGUUAUAGAAAUUAUUGAAAUUCAUUAACUAAAAGCAUGCCCAAAUGAACAAUAACGUAAACAAACACUAAUGUAAACUAUCAAGCCUGUAUGUAUUUAUCGAUAUACUGCAACUGAACCACGAUAUCUAAAGUUAAGGGCCAUAUGGUAGGAACUUAAGGCUAAAGUCUUUCCGUGUCACAUGUACCAUUGUUACAACAACCCGACUACAGUAAGGCAAGAGUAGGCAUUGUUUUUGUUGAUCGGUGGCACUCAAAAAAAGAUAACUGAAAUCAAUGUAUUUUUUCAAUAAGGUCUUAGGCUACAUUAUUAAAGCAAGGCAAGCUGUGGUUACUUGAUAUGAGAAGUUCCACAUUUGUCCAAAAGCGCAUUUUCUUUUUCGUCCUAGUAAAUAGGCUAUUGUGAAAUAUUCUGUAUAAAUAAGUAAAGGUAAAAAUCUCAUUUUACUUUAUGUUUUUUUUAUUGGCUUUCCCAAAUCUUUCAUCAGAACUUCGGGUCAUUGUUGACCGAUCAUUAUGACAAGCUGGACACAUAUUAGUCUACUUAGUAUUGGCUAGUAUAUAGAUGAACACAUUCGUAUUGAGUUAUAUUCCUUUACAUCUCAACUUAUGGAAUUGCUAGUUGUUUGUAUCAUCACGAAAUUGGAUCGUAAAUAUAUUAUUAGCAAGAAAUACAGAGCUAAAAAGUAAAUUGACCACUAUUGCACUAUUUUUCGCCAAGUAUAUUGUCACAUUUUAAGUGAUACUAUCAUACUAUGGACAUAUGUUUUACAAUUUCACUUAAAAAGAAACUAAAUUUUGCUGAGGAGCUUCAGCGGAUAGGAGACACAAUUAUCGCCCACAAGUACACAGUGGCAAACAUCCGAUCAAGUUGCCUAUACACACCUUUUUAUCAUAUAGGUUCUUAAGUUUCCUUUUCACUUAAUUAAUCUAUAUUAUUAUAAAAGCAUGAAUACAAUAUCUGUUUACAAAAAUAACCUUAUAAUAUUAAGCAUAAUAACUUAUAAUAAAACAUAACCUGAAUUCUAGAUAUUAGCCUUAUAAUCCUAUUAGUUUUAGGACAUAAUACUACACGUUAUGAAUUCUAGAAAAGCAUGAAAAAGUAAUACUUACAGUUAAAAGUUCAUAAGCAUUCUACAAUUUAAACUUCAAAAGAGAUGGUGAAAACCAGAACGACUUUUUCGUUGCUUGGCAUAUAAUCACUAUUCACAUAUUUAUUUUAGAAAUUGUGCUAUACAUAUAUGUAAUAUCCAGAUUUUGUGUAAAUAUCUUACAUUCGCCACCCCCAAAAAUAUGCACAUGCAUAUAUCAUUGAUUAAUUUAUCUAUCUAUAUCUAUAUUUAUUUAUAUCUAUAUCUAUCAAUAUCUAUAUCUAUAUCUAUAUUAUUAUAAAAGCACGAAUGUUCUGCGUUAAAUGUUGAACGACCAAAAUAUCCUCCAAAUAUUGAUCGACUUGUACGUCCUUUAUUAAUUAGAGAUAUCUCUAUAAUAUUAAUGUGCUAAAACGUAAAAGUACUUCAUUAUUUGUAGAGUUCAAGUCAAAUUGUAAAACCUUAAAAAUUAUGCCUCAUAAUAUGAAUUCAUCCAAAUCAAUGAUUGUGUUCAAGUGAAAUUGGAAGUCUUCCGCUUCUGGAUAUUAAGAGAGUCUUGAAAUAAAGCAAAUCAAACCAGCUCAUGAUUAUGCCCAAGUAAUACCCUUUUAUUAUUCCCGAUUCAAAUCAACGGCAAAGCAUAACAGAAGAAAGAUGUAAAGCAAUUUGUAUCCAAACUAGGAGCUCAUGAUUCUUGCCGAGUUCAUAGAAUGCUUGGAUUUAGCUUUACAAUUGGAAGUUUUAAUUAUGAUUUAAACAAUAAAUAUUAAAGCACAGGGGUUAGCAAUCCCAAAAAUUAGAUUGUAUUUGUCGCUAUAUGUUUUCUCACACGAAUACCUAUAUAUUUUACUUUUCGGAGAAAAAUUAAUGUCGUAAAUAGAUCAAGAUGGAGUAACCAAAGAAUCAAAAGGGAAAAUACACCCAAAAUAUCAUCUAUAAAGAAAGUAUUAGAUAAGAUACGAUCUCACUACAUAUUUCUAUGAUAUAAAUAGAUAUACUAUCUAAUUAACUUAACUAAAUUACUUAUAUUUGCAUUUUGACUUCAAGUAUUAAAACGAUUUUUGCCUCUUCGAUUUUUCACUUCAAUUGCUAUAUUAAAAAAUUCAUAUAAAUAAUUGAUUAAAUAUUUACCUGCAAAGCAGGUACAUAGAGACUAGUAUAUUAAAAGAAAAAGUAUCAGUCAAUAAUAUUUAUUUUUUGAUCAAAAAAACUACAAACUUUGUAAAAUAAAUCUAAUACAAACACUCCCGGCAAAAAAACAAAGAUAAUGGUUGUACUCGGAAAAAGAAUUGCAUGCUAAUAUUUCCAAAAGCAUAUAAACAAAUAAAAAGAAUUUCAUCAGCGUAAGCGGUAAGCGACUGGUUUUAAGCAAAUACAUGUAGCCUGGUAUGUAAAGGCCUCAAGAAAUAAUUAUAAAAAUUCCUAAAUAAAGAUUUUUUUUUUUUUAAAAGUCGAACUCACCGCAAUCGAGAACAAAAAAGCCUUGGUGCCCAUCAUCAAUUUCCCAUUCAAGUAUCUAACAGAUAAAUCAGUGAUGAGCAAAGGAGAUAAGAAUAGAGCCAGUUCGAGCUCCAAGGAGAAGAGGUUCAAGGAACCGAACAACAGAAGAGGAAGAUAACAAAAUAACCUUGCAAUUCCUAUUAGCUAUAGCUAAUUAGUGCACUUGAUCCUCUCUCAAUCUUGAUGAUAGAGAAAAAAGCGUAAUAUCUGAAAAGGAGAUUUCAGA